UAACAUUCUAAAACCAAGGGCUUUUGCCCAUCUUCAAUAGCUAACAAGAACUCUUUCUUUUCUUUACAAAUCUCAAAACCUUUACUAGAAUUUUUCUGCUUGUUUAGCUUACUUCACCUAGAGUCUUUUACCUUUUCUUAUCAAUGAAUCAACCCCUUUUUUUCUUUUAAACACAUCCCAACCCAAAGUAUAAGCGCCCACCUAGUCCUAUCUAGUCCAAAGAAUGCGAACUAGAACUACAUGAGACACUAUCUCUGUCGUUACGAACCUAACAGUUUCUACCAAGCUUAAUCGGAAUAAGACCUCACAAACACUCACAAGUGAUAUAGGGCUUGAAAGAAAGUCUAGGUUUGGGUUUGGGUUUGGGUUAACUGCUCUAAUAAGGAGAGUAAGCUACUUGGAUUAACAAGAGUGAUCAAAAUGAAUAAGAAAAUCCAAGUAUUUUAGGGUAUCCAUGAGUUCAAAUUUGAUGCAGACAUGAUAAUUAAAGAUCAGAUUCAGGUUCAAAUUGAUUGGGAAUGGUAUCAGAUCAUGACAGUGUGGUCGAGUAGAGCAAUCUAGGCAUGGUUCAGUUUUAUUUCAAAUUCAUUGACUACGCAACAGACAACUAGCAACGAGGGCACUGAGUUUAUCAGGUGAACCAAAAUGCUUACAAGGCUAUCUCAUCAUUAUCCCCUAUGCAUAUGCAACAAUCCUAAAUGAAACACUUUAGACUCGAUCUUAAAUGUAAUGCAACUACAUGAACACUCUUUUUUUGUGAAAUCAUUUUCUAAAAAUUGUCAAAAGGUUUUGGUUUUUCUAUGCCUUAGAUGACUGCAGACUCAAAAAUAUACACAAUGCAACACACACUUCCUGAGCCCUCCCCCAAACUUAAAUCACACAGUCCACUGUGCGAAUAAACUUGGAAGAGAGUACUCAGGACAAAUCCAAUCACAGAAACAAAAUGAAGAAACAAAUCACAACAGAUGAUAUAAUACAAUGGUGAAGUGAGGCGCUUACCUCAGUCGAAGAAUGAACGUAGUUGGUCGUCAAUGGCUGCCUGUGAUUGAUCCCAGGCCAUAGACGAGCCGCCCUGUUCGGUAUCAGCUCCAGUAGGUGGGUACUCGACCUCAUCAGCUCUAUUGCGGCCAGCAACGCCCUGAGUAUACUAGACCUCCCUUCUUCUUAUGCGGCCAGCACCGCGGUCGAGUGAUCUCCUGGCGUGGAUAAGCUAAAACAUGGUCGAGUAUUAUUCAUUGCUUUGUGGUCGAGUAUACUGCUUUACUCGCAGAGUCAGAAUCCAUUUCACUCGGCUCUUUAUACUUAUCUCCUGAAGACACUAACCAAAUGCAUCAAAAUCAACAAGGAAAAAUAAAGAUAUGUACAAAGAUAGACAUGGGAUUUCCUCCCAAGUGAGCUUGUUUUAAGUCUCUAAGCUUGACUUCUCAUACUCAUUAGGCUCAGGGUGGGUUGCAGAGAGGAAAUGUGGUCUCCUCUCCUUCUUGAGUAGAGUGAUCAUCAUACUCAUUAGGGUUUCUUGACAGGUCUGCAAUUGGGUACUCAGAGGCCAUGUCCUCAUAGUAAGCUUCUUUUUUUAUCAAGAUAGUCUUCUCCUCUACACCAUUCCGAUGUGAAUUCACAUCCUUCUUUGCUGACAAGAAUAGUGGCUCCAUCGUCAAGGGCGUCCUUGAUAUUGAGUGGUACUUGGUUGGCUUUUCCAUUGAGCUCCUUGUUUUGAUCCUUCAGCUUUUUCACAAUAUGUGUUAGCUCUUGUAUGGCUUUGUCCUGCCAUUUAGAUCUCUCCUUGAGUUCUAACCAAUCAUCUGACGUCUGGGUGCUUGCCAUGAGUUGUUUGGUCGAGCAUGAGCUUUCAGGGCAAGUUGGAGGCUUCUUCGAGUUGUUGGUGGAAUCAGUUGGUCGAGCAUGUGUUGAACUUACUUCAUUAGCUUUCAUAACCUUUGUGUCAGACCCCAUCAAGCCCUUGUAAACCUUUGACCCAACCUUUGAGCCAACUGUUGCCUUGUGUGAGUCUAAUGACUUCUCAGAACUCAAAGUUUCACUAGGAAGAUAUCCAGGUUUACCACUCUUGGUCAAAACAGUUUUUGAGUUAUUUGCUUCUUUAAGUUCCACUAGAAGUUCAUCAACUAGCAGAUCCUUUUCCUCAACUAAGAAGGUCUGUCCUUCUAUUGUCGGCUUCUUCAUAGCAUCAUUGAUGUCAAACUUCAUUUUAAAAUCCUUCCCCAUAUUAAGAUCAAUCUUUCCUUGCUUAACAUCUAUGAUUGCUCCAGAUGUAGCCAAAAAGGGCCUUCCUAAGAUCAAGGGAUCUUUUGGUUCAACAUCCAUGUUCAACACUAUGAAGUCUGUAGGCACCUCCACAUUUCCAAUCUUGAUAGGCAAAUCUUCUAAUAACCCAUGCGGUUGUCUAACAGACCCAUCAGCCAAAAUCAAGGAGAUAUUGCAAUAUUUAUAUUUGUUAAAACCCAACCUCUUAGCUACUGAGAGUGGCAUUAGACUUGCUGAUGCUCCUAGGUCACAAAGGCAUUUAUUGAAUGUCAAUGAACCUAGGGAGAAUGGUAGAGUGAAUGAACCAGGGUCUCCUAGCUUCUCUGGUUCAUCUUUCUCAUGUAUGAUGGCAUUGCACUCAUGGCUCAUAAUUGUUGUUUACUGAACUUCUUGAAUUCUCUCCAUGAUCAAGUCUUUCAGGAAUUUUUGGGAAUCCGGGAUACGCGUGAGAGCAUUAACAAGAGGUAUCCUGCCUUCAACUUGUUUUAUGUUCUUGGCAAACAUAGCUCUGUACUUAUCUUCUAAUUCUUUCUUGUGUCGACCAGGAAAUGGAAGUGGGGGCUUGUAAGGAUAAAGAAUGAAAACUUUUUAUUUGUUUUUGACAGCAACUGGUUUCAGAGCAGUUUGUGAUGUUGCUGGGAAGGUCGGUCGAGUAAAGUGGUCAAGUGGGAGCUCGAGUGACUGGUCGAGUGGCUGCUCGAGUGAGAGGUCGAGUGGCUGCUCGAGUGGCUGCUCAAGUGACUAGUUGAGUGGCUGCUCGAGUGACUAGUCAACUUGAUCUUUAUUGAGACUGAAAUCCUCCCCAUCUUGGUAUGCACUGUCUUUAGUGACUGACUUGGGUCUCUCUCUAGUGGAUAACUCACUUCCACUCCUUAUGUUGAUAGCAUGAACAUUAGCAUACUCCUUGGGAUUCUAAUUGACUUCCCUGGAAGUCCCGUAACUUUGGGAGCAGAGGUAGAUGCGGAUUAUGCUUCUAAGUAUCUGACUUUGGAAUUCAACGCCUCCACUUUGGCAUUCAGGUCAUUGUAGCUGUUGUCCAUCUUCUGGUGUAAUUCGGAUAACUUCUUAGCAAUUUCCAUGGAGCUAGAUGCUUGUCCCUGUAGCAGCUGUUGUACGAUCUGUUUUAUUUCAGCAUCAGGUACAACAGGACCUUGGUUUUGCUGAGGUGCAAACCCAGGUGGUGGUUGCUGCUGGUAGUUCCCUUGAAAUUGCUCCUUGGGAACAUAACUUUGAUUGUAGGGAACAAAAGUUUUGUUCUGACCUUGUUGUUGUUGUGGAGGAAACACUUGAUCCUGAGGAUUAACAACGUUGGUGCUGCGGUAAGAGAGGUUGGGGUUGUUCAUCUUAAAGUUGUUGUACCCUUUGUAGCCACCUUGAUUGUUGAUGUAGCUAACUUCUUCUAACUAGUUAACCUCCACAUCUUGGACUUGAUACUGCUCGUCAUCAACAAGGAAGUGCACAUGCUUCUGCUGGCUAAGAAGAAUCAUGUCCAGCUUGUCAUUCAGCGCUUUGAUCUCUUUCCUGUGUUUGUCAUCAGAGUCAGUUGUGCCUCUGAUAGUUCUGUCGCAAUCCUCGUUGUAAUUACCAUCUGAUUGAGCAAGGUUUUCAACCAAUUCCCACCCUUCUUCAACAUCUUUGUUCUGAAAAUUCUCAUUGCUGGCGGUAUCCAGAAGCAUUCUGAUCCGUGGUAGAACUCCUCUGUAUAAAGUGCUAAGCAGAGAAGCUUUCUUGAAGCCAUGAUGAGGGCAUUGGUUGGUGUAACCCUUGAAACGCUCCCAUGCUUCACAGAAGCUUUCACCAGUCUUCUGUGAAAAGCCACUCAGAAAUGAGCCUUCUUGCAAUCAUCCCAGGUGGUGAUUGAGUCAUGGGGCAGAUUCUUUUCCCAGAUGUGUGCUUUAUCGCCCAAGGAGAAUGGAAACAAACAGAGCUUGAAUCCGUCUUCACUGACACCAUUGAUUUUUGUUAGGUUGUAGAGCCUAUCAAAUUCAUCCAAGUGGUCGAGUGGAUCCUCCAUUGGCAGACCAUGGAAUUUAUUCCCCUGAAUCAUCAAGAUGAGACCACUCUUAAUCUCGAAGUUGUUGUUCUGGAUAGCAGGAGGUGCAAUUCCUUUCCUCUGACUGUGGCCCCGUGGUGCAUCUCCAGCACCAAUGUUUGCAGGCCCAUUCUGUUGAUUUUGUUUGUCAUCCAUUUUGAGUGAUUGCUGAGGUAUAAGGUUGAUUGUGUUUCUCCUUUCUCUAAGUUCACGAGCUAGGCGGUCGAUGUUAUCGUUGAAAAGGAGGUACUGGUUGCUUGUUGAUCGAGUUUGAAUAUAGCAGAGAUGCACCUCAAUCGAGAAGACAACAAGAAAAACACACAGUCAGUAUCUGAAAUGAAAAUUGAAAAAGAACUUGAUCUAAGCAAGUCUGAAAUCUCAAAUGUAACAAACAAACACCCAAUUGGCAACGGCGCCAAAUUGAGAAUAAGUUUU
rnacentral:sRNA from 1 species